rnacentral:rRNA from 1 species
ACGGGGGGGGCAAGCGUUGUUCGGAAUUACUGGGCGUAAAGGGUUCGUAGGUGGCCUGCUAAGCCAGACGUGAAAUCCCUCAGCUUAACUGGGGAACUGCGUCUGAGACUGGCGAGCUCGAGUGCAGGAGAGGAACGCGGAAUCCCAGGUGUAGCGGUGAAAUGCGUAGAUGUCUGGAGGAACACCAGUGGCGAAGGCGGCGUUCUGGACUGCUACUGACACUGAGGAACGAAAGCCAGGGGAGCAAACGGGA